AAUUUAAGUUUGAAAUGAUUGUUCGAUUGCAAAAUCAAAAGAAACAAGUGUUGUUGGUAAAUUUAUCUUGAAAAAAUUCAGUGCCAUCCAUAGACACCUUCAACCAUGGAGAACUAAAGGAAAAACAAAAGUGCAGAACGUGAUCAAUGCUAAGCUUGGGUUUUCCCUGUCCCUGUACCACAGGCUGAGUUUCCACAGCGCUUGGCACGGUCAGAUCCAAGUAGAAGAUCACUCCAUCGAAUUUGCUAAGAAGUUUCCGGAUCGUAUUCUCGACCGAAAACAGCUUCAGCCUUUCCUUGGAUGCUUUAAUUACUUCUCAUAUUACUACUAAGACCUAGCUGCGGAUCGCAAGAUCCUGACUUCUCGUCUUCGGAAGAACGCAUCACAGGUUUGGACGGAGAAGCACACCGAAGCCGUGCAACGGAUUAAGGAUCGUGUUCAACGUCUACCUAUUCUUGCUCUGCCAGACGAAUCCAAGCCAAAGAUUAUAGAGACUGAUGCUUCUGACAUUGGCUGGGGUUAAGCAAAAGACCGACGAUGGGAAAGAAGUGAUACAGUUUGCUUCUGGCACCUGGAGCGAAUCCCAGUCGCGAUAUUCAGCAAUCAAGAAGGAGAUUCUGGCUGCAUAUAAGGCUGGCAGGCGCAGUUCUCUCUCUUUGAUUUCACUAUUGAACACAUUAAAGGAGAGUUGAACAACAUCCCUGACUUCUUAACUCGGGAAUUUCUUCAAGAAGGAAAGCUCUCGAGUACCCCCGUCGUCAACAUGUUGCCUUCCUCGCCUUCGUCAGAGGAAGGGAGUGGGUGGCUCUUCCACAGAUAAUCUUUCCUUUUGGAGGUGAAUCGGGAGAGAGGAUUUUUACUCACUUUCUUUGUGUUGCACCCCUUUAUCCUUUAUACUAAACCAGAUAGAGCAGGGGAUCUUCUUGAAAAUGAGAAAAUCUAGUCUUAUAGCCUUUUUCCAAUGAAGGACUGAAGCCACCCGACUCCUCUUCAACCUGAAGCAAGAAAGAGAAUUUUCCUAAGCAGGCUGUCUUUCUUGAACUGAUCUUGCCAACCCUGCGCAGAUAUUCCCAUCAUCUUUAGAUUUGAAAGGGGAUCUCGGAUGGAAUGAAACUGACUCUUUGACAAGGGAAAAGAUGAUUGCUGGGCUUCAGUGUUGAACCGGUCCAGAGAACUAUCGACAGUUCACAAAUGAUGUUAGUGAUGGUCUCGAGGAGGCUGGUCGAUUGAGAACGGGAUGUGUUGACCACUCGUACAUUCGGGGUGGUGAUGUAAAGGGAGAUCCAAACAAGGUAGAAGCAUUGGUAACAAAACUCAAUCCUGAGACAAAUCGCUUCCUACUAAGGGGAGUUUACGAUGACCAUUGAGGACGUCCAUCGUUAGGAAUUAGGCUUAAAGGUAAAGAAGAGAGCAAGCGAAGUAAUAACCAAGAAUCUGCUGAAAGAAGAUAGAAGAUGAAUGGUCGAAGAUCGUUUUUUUCCUAUAUGUAGAGCAUGAGCUCACGCUCCAUUUCCAACUCAGUCUAGUCCGGAUAUGGCCCGAAAGUCAGGGUGGGUCACCAAUAAGAUCCUUAUAUCCUAUCCAAAGCUCCAAUUCCAUUCAGCAGGUCUAAGUUCGUCCCCCGCGGAUGACUGGAUCAGAUGAAAGAGAUCGUCAUUGCAGGCAGGGCAAUCAUCGAGACGAGAAAGAAGUGGUCUGCAUCAAUGGUUGAGCACUAGCUAGGGCUUCCCCAACAAGAAAAAGAAGUUGGAUCCUCUUUUCCACUGAGCAAGGCAAGAUCUACGAAGGUAGGGGAAUAGCUGACUCAUACCUAGAGGGAAGGCAAGGUCCAACAAGAAGAACUUCCGAGAAAGCGCAAGAGGAGAGACGAAAGCUUGCUCAACCGUGAAAGGAGAGGAAGCACUCUGGGAUCUGAGGCCUGAAUUACGCUCUUAACUUUAUUGGACAAUGCAAGGGCAGACGGUGAUGCUCUGAUCGCUCAGUGACGAUUCUUGGAUUGACCAACAAAGUCUAAAAGCGGAACCUACUGAAUCUUUAUAGUCUCUUUCUUCUUUGCUUGCUGUCGGCCUUGCCAAUCUGAAACUCCAGAUCAUAUAUUAUUGCAUGGAGACAAAGCGUUGGAGGUCUGGUCUUACUUCUCUAAGGAUCUGCAGCAGAAUAUCAGUCCAGAGGAUUCUAUAUUAUGAUUAUCUUUCUUCCAUGGAGCUCCUCGGGUAAUCUGAACUCCAGAUAUGCCUUUAGCUGCCUACUGCUGCCUUUGCUUAUAUGUUGGUACCUGUGGCUGGCGUGGAAUGAACAUCGGUUCGAGGGUAUUGCUGCCUCUCCAUAUAGUAUCAUCCAAAAGGUAAAGCAGAGCUGGUAUGAAAUCUCCACGCAAUUCAAGCCUCGCACAGAGGAUAAUCUUGCAAAGAAAAGGAUGCUAGCGAAUGCCAGAAUUCAUCAUGAGGGAAGGGUCCAGGUUGAAGCACGCAUAAUUUACUGGGUUAAACCUCCUCCGGGCAUGCUUAAGUUGAAUGUGGACUAAGUUUUAACGCGCUAAGUGGGGAAAACUUGCCGCAAACUCUUCAAAUCCAAGGCGAAGUGGGAAGCAAGAAGCUCAAGAUACUGGUAGACACGGGGAGCAUCCAUAGCUUCUUGGAUUUUCGGGUGGCCAAGGAAGUAAAGGCAAGGAUAGAGUCAGCGGCGCCCUUACUGGUCACUGUGGCCAACAGACACAAGAUCAUGAGCUAACUAAGGAGCUUCGGGUUUACGGGGAACAUGAAUGGUAGACCUUAGAAGGCUGAUUUGAGGAUAAUCCGGCUAGAGGGCUUUAGUAUAGUAUUGGGCAUAGAUUGGUUAAGGACGUAUGGCAAAGUCACUUUCGACUAUAACAAAAACAUCGUGUCUCUCGAUAAAGACGGACAGCAACUAAUCCUCAAGAGUCUGACUGAAGGGCCAGCCUUGAAGAUGCUCACUGCUAAGGAGUGGAGUAGGGACUACCAGGAAGGAGCCUGUUGUGCCAUAGCCAAGAUCAUGUAGAUCGGGGAGCGCGAAGAGCAAGUAAUACCGGAGGACAUUAAAGAGAUACUAUUGCAAUUUGAAGACGUGCUUGAGGAGCUGAAAGGAUUGCCCCCGACAAGAAGGCAGGACCACAGAAUACCAUUGCAAAGAGCUUCCCAACCAGUGAACAUAAGACCCUAUCGCUAUACUUACGAGCAAAAGAACGAAAUCGAGCGACAGGUCAAGGAGAUGCUGGAGUCGGGCAUCGUACAGCCUAGCACCAGUCCUUUCGCCUCACUUAUGCUGCUUGUCAAAAAGAAGGAUAACACAUGGCGGUUUUGCGUAGACUAUCGACAGCUAAACAAAUCCACGGUGAAAGAUAAAUACCCUAUCCCACUGAUUGAUGAUUUGCUCGAUGAAUUAGGCGGGUCGGCUUACUUCUCUAAGAUUGAUUUGAGGGCCGGCUACCAUCAGAUUAGGAUGGAUCCGGAGGACGUCUAUAAGACGGCCUUUCGAACUCACUUAGGACACUACGAGUUUCUGGUUAUGCCCUUCGGGCUAACCAACGCGUCGGCCACUUUUCAGUCAGUAAUGAAUGAGGUUUUUGCGGAGCAUCUUAGAAAGUAUGUAUUAUUUUUCUUCGACGACAUACUCAUUUACAACUGAAGCCUCGAAGACCAUAAGGCGCAUUUGAGUGUGGUGUUGGGGACGUUGCGCAGGCAACAACUGUAUGAGAAGAGGUCCAAAUGCUACUUCGGGCAACAAAGGGUGAAAUAUCUGGGCUAUAUUAUCACCCCGGAGGGAGUGGCUACCGACCCUAAGAAGGUAGAGGCGAUGGUUAAUUGGCCGACACCGACUUCACUCUAGGGUCUGCGGGGGCUCCUCGGUAUAACCGGGUACUACAAAAGAUUUAUCAAGAACUAUGGGAAGCUAAGUAAAUCUCUGGUAGAACUGCUUAGGAAGGACCAAUUCAAGUGAAGUUCCGAAGCACAAACAGUAUUCGAGAACUUGAAGGAGAUCAUGACUCAAGUGCCAGUAUUAGCAAUGCCCGAUUAUACUAGACCCUUCGUUGUCGAAGUGGACGCGUGUGGACAAGGAUUAGGAGCGGUGUUGUCCCAAGAGGGGCGACCUAUUGCAUACAUUAGUAAGGCCAUAACCCAGCGGAACAUGGGUUUGUCAACCUAUGAGAAGGAAUUUUUGGCGAUACUCUUGACAGUUAACAAGUGGAAACACUAUCUCAGCCCUCGACAAUUCGUCAUCAAGACGGAUCAUCAAAGCCUCAAGCACUUAUUGGAACAGAAGAUCACCACGACAGUCCAACAAAAAGGUAUGGUCAAACUAAUGGGGCUCGAUUACAUAAUACAUUACAAGGCGGGCAAAAAAUAUAGAGCUGCAGACUCAUUAUCCAGAAGAGGAUUCGAGGAAGGAACUAGCGCAGCCAUCACCACAGUGAUACCUAGUUGGGUCGCCGAAGUGGCGGCGAGCUACAGAGGAGACAAGAAGUGCCAACAGCUCAUUUCCAAGCUGCUACUUCAACCUGAUCCACAAUUUAAGUAUACAUACUCCCAAGAAAUGCUGAGAUACAAGGGAAGGAUAUAUAUGUGGACCAAGGCGGAGUUCAAGGGAAGAUAAUACAUGAAUUACACUCCUUAGCAUUGGGGGGUCAUUCGGGUGCCCGACACACCUACAAAAGAGCGAAACAGUACUUCUACUGGCCGGGCCUUAAGCAGGAUGUGGAAGAAUACACUAAAGGCUGCGCCGUUUGUAUACAAAAUAAAGUGGAUGGACAACCCUACGCCGGGCUGCUUCAACCGCUGCCUGUGCCCAAUCGAGCGUCGCAGGAGAUUACCAUGGAUUUUAUCGAAGCACUACCAAAAUUAGAGGGUAAGGACACGGUAUUAGUGGUGAUCGACCGACUCACCAAGUACGCGCAUUUCAUAUCCCUAACUCGUCCUUUUACAGCAUCUAGUGUGGCGCGGGCCUUCCUCGACACAGUCUACAGACUGCACGGGUUGCCUCGCACCAUCCUAACAGAUAGGGACAAGGUCUUUACGAGUCAAUUAUGGCAAGAGUUGUUCAAGCUACUGCGUGUGAAGCUACUGAUGAGCAUUGCCUAUCAUCCGCAAACCGACGGACAGUCUGAAAGGCUCAACCGCUACCUCAAGACCUACUUGCGCUGCUUGUGCUUCUAGCAGCCGCAUAAGUGGCAUAGACGGUUGACACUAGCGGAAUGGUGGUACAACAACUACCAUAGUUCUCUUGGAAUGAUACCUUAUCAAGCCCUAUAUGGACAUCCACCCCCAAAUGGCAUGGUCGUCAACCUGGGCAUGGAAACUGCGCCUUCGAUACAGGAGUGGGGCAAGGAACAUGAAGAAGCGACUCGCCUACUAAGGGACAAGCUACUCCAAGCACAGCAUUGAAUGAAACAGAAUGCUGAUAAAAAGAGAGUGGACAAGGAGUACAAGGUGGGGGAGUAUGUCUACUUGAAGUUACAGCCUUACCGACAAACGAGCGUGGUAGUCAGGCGACACUUAAAGCUAUCAGCACGCUACUACGGGCCCUUUAAGAUCACUGAGAAGAUUGGGCAAGUUCCCUACCGCCUCCAGUUGCCGGAAGGGUCCAAGAUCGACCCAGCCUUCCACGUCUCACUGUUAAAGAGAAGUCCACCCACGGAUUCAUCCGCUACCCCGACGGUACCCCUGAUCAGCGAAGAUGGUCGACUCCUAGCACGACCGAAGAAGAUCUUAGACAGGCGCAUGGAAAAACAGGGUAAUCAAGCAGUAAGUAGAGUUUUGGUGAAGGGGAAGAAGAAGAAGAAGGAGCGCGCCUCAGCGCCUCAUCCUCCCUGCUGAAAUGAUAAAGAUCAAACGAACAUGAACUGAUAAAGGACGGUCAGGGUCAGGACCAAGGUUUCCAUCUUCAUCUGCUGCAGAUAGUGAAGCUGUUUCUAUGCUAGCAAUGACUUAGAUGACAACUGGGAUCUGCUAGAAGGUGAUCUUCCUUAUUGAAACUUGUGACAACUGGGAUUUGCUAGAAGGUGAUCUUCCUUUCAAUAACUUGUAAGCAAUUUACUACGCGGUUUCUGCACUUGCAGCUUUGUUUAGCGAGCGAAUCGAAUUGGAGGUACCGAUGAAUUGUAUAGAUUGCUUCUCCUCCUUCCAUGAACCAUGAUGUGGCAGAUUGAGUUCAAUGGCAUAUUUCAAUCUUUAGAAUUUUUAUGAUGUUAA